UAAUGAACGGCGCCACGGUGGCACUAAAUGUAACGAGCUUUNGAUAGCACGCAUCUAGUGGUGUCCGAGCCCGCUCUCAACCCAUUAUUUCUAAAGGUUGACCUCGGAUCAGGUAGGAAUACCCGCUGAACUUAAGCAUAUCAAUAAGCGGAGGAAAAGAAACCAACAGGGAUUACCCUAGUAACGGCGAGUGAAGCGGUAACAGCUCAAAUUUGAAAUCUGGCCUUCACAGGUCCGAGUUGUAAUUUGUAGAGGAUGUUUCGGGCAAAGCUGCGGUUUAAGUUUCUUGGAACAGAACGUCAUAGAGGGUGAGAGUCCCGUCUAGAACCGAUAGUUGCGUCCAUGUGAAGCUCCUUCGACGAGUCGAGUUGUUUGGGAAUGCAGCUCAAAAUGGGUGGUAAAUUUCAUCUAAAGCUAAAUAUUGGCCAGAGACCGAUAGCGCACAAGUAGAGUGAUCGAAAGAUGAAAAGCACUUUGAAAAGAGAGUUAAACAGUAUGUGAAAUUGUUGAAAGGGAAGCGCUUGCAACUAGACUUGUGUAUAGCAGUUCCCCCCGUCUUCUGACUGGGCUAUUCUGUUAUAUCCAGGCCAGCAUCGGUUCAGGUGGUUGGUUAAAGGCCUUGGGAAUGUAUCUACCUCCGGGUCGACUUAUAGCCCAGGGUGUAAUGCGGCCUACCUGGACCGAGGAACGCGCUUUUGCUCGGAUGCUGGCGUAAUGGUUGUAAGCGGCC
rnacentral:rRNA from 1 species